rnacentral:rRNA from 1 species
CCAGACAGCCAGGAUGUUGGCUUAGAAGCAGCCAUCAUUUAAAGAAAGCGUAAUAGCUCACUGGUCGAGUCGGCCUGCGCGGAAGAUGUAACGGGGCUAAACCAUGCACCGAAGCUGCGGCAGCGACGCUGAUGCGUUGUUGGGUAGGGGAGCGUUCUGUAAGCCUGCGAAGGUGUGCUGUGAGGCAUGCUGGAGGUAUCAGAAGUGCGAAUGCUGACAUAAGUAACGAUAAAGCGGGUGAAAAGCCCGCUCGCCGGAAGACCAAGGGUUCCUGUCCAACGUUAAUCGGGGCAGGGUGAGUCGACCCCUAAGGCGAGGCCGAAAGGCGUAGUCGAUGGGAAACAGGUUAAUAUUCCUGUACUUGGUGUUACUGCGAAGGGGGGACGGAGAAGGCUAUGUUGGCCGGGCGACGGUUGUCCCGGUUUAAGCGUGUAGGCUGGUUUUCCAGGCAAAUCCGGAAAAUCAAGGCUGAGGCGUGAUGACGAGGCACUACGGUGCUGAAGCAACAAAUGCCCUGCUUCCAGGAAAAGCCUCUAAGCAUCAGGUAACAUCAAAUCGUACCCCAAACCGACACAGGUGGUCAGGUAGAGAAUACCAAGGCGCUUGAGAGAACUCGGGUGAAGGAACUAGGCAAAAUGGUGCCGUAACUUCGGGAGAAGGCACGCUGAUAUGUAGGUGAAGCGACUUGCUCGUGGAGCUGAAAUCAGUCGAAGAUACCAGCUGGCUGCAACUGUUUAUUAAAAACACAGCACUGUGCAAACACGAAAGUGGACGUAUACGGUGUGACGCCUGCCCGGUGCCGGAAGGUUAAUUGAUGGGGUUAGCGCAAGCGAAGCUCUUGAUCGAAGCCCCGGUAAACGGCGGCCGUAACUAUAACGGUCCUAAGGUAGCGAAAUUCCUUGUCGGGUAAGUUCCGACCUGCACGAAUGGCGUAAUGAUGGCCAGGCUGUCUCCACCCGAGACUCAGUGAAAUUGAACUCGCUGUGAAGAUGCAGUGUACCCGCGGCAAGACGGAAAGACCCCGUGAACCUUUACUAUAGCUUGACACUGAACAUUGAGCCUUGAUGUGUAGGAUAGGUGGGAGGCUUUGAAGUGUGGACGCCAGUCUGCAUGGAGCCGACCUUGAAAUACCACCCUUUAAUGUUUGAUGUUCUAACGUUGACCCGUAAUCCGGGUUGCGGACAGUGUCUGGUGGGUAGUUUGACUGGGGCGGUCUCCUCCUAAAGAGUAACGGAGGAGCACGAAGGUUGGCUAAUCCUGGUCGGACAUCAGGAGGUUAGUGCAAUGGCAUAAGCCAGCUUGACUGCGAGCGUGACGGCGCGAGCAGGUGCGAAAGCAGGUCAUAGUGAUCCGGUGGUUCUGAAUGGAAGGGCCAUCGCUCAACGGAUAAAAGGUACUCCGGGGAUAACAGGCUGAUACCGCCCAAGAGUUCAUAUCGACGGCGGUGUUUGGCACCUCGAUGUCGGCUCAUCACAUCCUGGGGCUGAAGUAGGUCCCAAGGGUAUGGCUGUUCGCCAUUUAAAGUGGUACGCGAGCUGGGUUUAGAACGUCGUGAGACAGUUCGGUCCCUAUCUGCCGUGGGCGCUGGAGAACUGAGGGGGGCUGCUCCUAGUACGAGAGGACCGGAGUGGACGCAUCACUGGUGUUCGGGUUGUCAUGCCAAUGGCACUGCCCGGUAGCUAAAUGCGGAAGAGAUAAGUGCUGAAAGCAUCUAAGCACGAAACUUGCCCCGAGAUGAGUUCUCCCUGACUCCUUGAGAGUCCUGAAGGAACGUUGAAGACGACGACGUUGAUAGGCCGGGUGUGUAAGCGCAG